UACGUAGGGGGCUAGCGUUGUCCGGAAUCAUUGGGCGUAAAGCGCGUGUAGGCGGUUCGGUAAGUCCGCUGUGAAAGUCGGGGGCUCAACCCUCGGAAGCCGGUGGAUACUGUCGGGCUAGAGUACGGAAGAGGCGAGUGGAAUUCCUGGUGUAGCGGUGAAAUGCGCAGAUAUCAGGAGGAACACCAAUUGCGAAGGCAGCUCGCUGGGACGUUACUGACGCUGAGACGUGAAAGCGUGGGGAGCAAACAGG
rnacentral:rRNA from 1 species